rnacentral:rRNA from 1 species
AACGAACGCUGGCGGCAGGCCUAACACAUGCAAGUCGAGCGAGGACUUCGGUCCUAGCGGCGGACGGGUGAGUAACGCGUGGGAACGUGCCCUUUGCUUCGGAAUAGCCCUGGGAAACUGGGAGUAAUACCGGAUGAGCCCUUUGGGGGAAAGAUUUAUCGGCGAAGGAUCGGCCCGCGUUGGAUUAGGUAGUUGGUGGGGUAAUGGCCUACCAAGCCGACGAUCCAUAGCUGGUUUGAGAGGAUGAUCAGCCACACUGGGACUGAGACACGGCCCAGACUCCUACGGGAGGCAGCAGUGGGGAAUCUUAGACAAUGGGGGAAACCCUGAUCUAGCCAUGCCGCGUGAGCGAUGAAGGCCUUAGGGUUGUAAAGCUCUUUCAGCUGGGAAGAUAAUGACGGUACCAGCAGAAGAAGCCCCGGCUACUCCGUG